rnacentral:rRNA from 1 species
CAUGUAGGCGGUUUUUUAAGUCUGGAGUGAAAAUGCGGGGCUCAACCUCGUAUGGCUCUGGAUACUGGAAGACUUGAGUGCAGGAGAGGAAAGGGGAAUUCCCAGUGUAGCGGUGAAAUGCGUAGAUAUUGGGAGGAACACCAGUGGCGAAGGCGCCUUCUGGACUGUGUCUGACGCUGAGAUGCGAAAGCCAGGGUAGCGAACG